rnacentral:rRNA from 1 species
UACGUAGGGUGCGAGCGUUGUCCGGAAUUAUUGGGCGUAAAGAGCUCGUAGGCGGUUUGUCGCGUCUGCUGUGAAAUCCCGAGGCUCAACCUCGGGUCUGCAGUGGGUACGGGCAGACUGGAGUGCGGUAGGGGAGAAUGGAAUUCCUGGUGUAGCGGUGGAAUGCGCAGAUAUCAGGAGGAACACCGGUGGCGAAGGCGGAUCUCUGGGCCUUACCUGACGCUCAGGUGCGAAAGCUAGGGGAGCGAACAGG